CCUACGGGAGGCAGCAGUCGAGAAUCAUUCACAAUGGGGGAAACCCUGAUGGUGCGACGCCGCGUGGGGGAAUGAAGGUCUUCGGAUUGUAAACCCCUGUCAUGUGGGAGCAAAUUAAAAAGAUAGUACCACAAGAGGAAGAGACGGCUAACUCUGUGCCAGCAGCCGCGGUAAUACAGAGGUCUCAAGCGUUGUUCGGAUUCACUGGGCGUAAAGCGUGCGUAGGCUGUUUCGUAAGUCGUGUGUGAAAGGCGCGGGCUCAACCCGCGGACGGCACAUGAUACUGCGAGACUAGAGUGAUGGAGGGGGAACCGGAAUUCUCGGUGUAGCAGUGAAAUGCGUAGAUAUCGAGAGGAACACUCGUGGCGAAGGCGGGUUCCUGGACAUUAACUGACGCUGAGGCACGAAGGCCAGGGGAGCGAAAGGGAUUAGAUACCCUUGUAGUC
rnacentral:rRNA from 1 species